GAAAUAAAUGGUUGCUCUACACAAUUGACCCAAAAAGAAAAGAAGAGACCUUGACCAAUUUGACCCUGAAACCCUUCUCUGCACAUCAUCGCUGUACACCGCCGCCUGCAAGCCACCGACAACCUGUCCCACUCCGAGUGUGUCUCGCCGUCGCAUCGCCGCCGCAAGACGCUACCACCGCCAACAAGCUGUCCUCCACCGCCUCAUUUCCUCUAUAAAUAGGAACCGACCUGCAAUAAUUCCGGCCAACAAAAAUAAUCUCAAAAAUCCAAAACCAACACCGCCCUCCACCGUGUCCCACCACUCCAACCACCGCUAGCACCACAGAAGGCCCCAAUCGUUUCUCCGCUACUUCUCCGGCGACACCCGCUUCCCAGGUCGUUUCACUUUCGAAGCUAAGGUUGUCACGACCCCCUUAAAGAACAAGUCUGACGUUAUUGUGGAUCAUCUUUUGAGGUUCACAGGAUAAUCAGGGCGGGGUGUGAAAGAGAGAAGAAUUAGCUCUAGGAUUUUGGGAAAAGAAAAAGUUAGCCAUUUUUGUAGCACAUGCUAGUUUAUCAAAAUUGGGCAUUUUAUAAUAUGUAAUAAACAAUAUAACUCUAGGGCUAUGUGUUGUCUUUUGUUUUGACUACUGUAAUAGUGACACGUCACUCCAUUCUGGGGUGGGGUGUUACAGUUAGGUUGGGUAAUUACGUGUUAAAUUAAAAUAAUAGAUAAUUGAAUGGAAAUUCAGGGUUA